ensembl:lncRNA
CAGCUUUGUAAGUCCUGAAUCAUGGUUGAAUCAUUGUGGUACCUCCAGAGACAACAGUCCCCCACCACGAGGUCAGACACUUGUCCAUGAUGGCGGGCGGGGGAUCUCACCUGGCAUACAUGAUCUGCAGGGCGGAGAGGACGUGGGACAGGGCCUGCUGCUUGGCCAGGUUACCGUCCAGAGACAGCAGGAUCUUAGCCAGCGACGGCCGGUUGGCCUUGGCGCUGCUCUGCCCACUCAUCUUGUUGCUGACGGCGGAGGAGUCGCUGUCCAACGGGACCCCUGCAGAACCACGACCACGACCCCAAACACAUCGUCAGGCUGGCUCAACACGCGAGAGCUCAACUUCAGGUUACACCAGAAGAUGGAGGCUCUAAAGGGAGUCGUUGGAUUAAACUCCUAAAGCCAAUUCGAACGCACACCUCCUUACCUCGGUAAGCCUUUGUUAACCGCAGCCAAUCAGAACUUCUAAAUUGGUUGCCUCAUUUACCACAGCCAAUUCUAACACAACUACUCCUCCCUUGCCCAGGUAGGGGUGGGAGGUUUGGUUAAUGAGCGAUUAUUGCUUACCUGGGAAGGAGCGGGAGUGUUCUGAUUGGUUAACAGGUUGAUAGUGCUUACCCAGGAAGGAGAUGGGUGUGUUCUGAUUGGUUAACAGGUUGAUAGUGCUUACCCAGGAAGGAGAUGGGUGUGUUCUGAUUGGUUAACAGGUAGAUAGUGCUUACCCAGGAAGGAGAUGGGUGUGUUCUGAUUGGUUAACAAGUUAUUAGGGCUUACCCAGGUAGGAGAUUGGGUGUGUUCUGAUUGGUUAAUGAGCGGUUAGUGCUUACCCAGGAAGGAGAUGGGUGUGUUCCGAUUGGUUAACGAGCGGUUAGUGCUUACCCAGGUAGGAGAUUGGGUGUGUUCUGAUUGGUUAAUGAGCGGUUAGUGCUUACCCAGGUAGGAGGCUCCCAGAGAGUCCCUGGCGGUCUGGAAGAGGACGGGCUCGUGGACGGACGGCGUGGUCACGUCCACGGUGGUCCAGGCCACGCUGUGGGAGGAGCCACAGGCCACGCGGGUGAUCUUCUGGCCCUCCAGUCCCUGCACCAGGGUGGGCUUCCGGUUGACCGUGGUGGUCCCGUUGCCCUGCUGCCCGUGGUCGUUGUCGCCCCACGCAUACACCUGAUGGCACAGCAGCGACGUCGUCAUUCACUACGCUGAUGGGUCCCCCCCAGACACCUCUCUCUUUACCAAUGAGUGUCACGCAUUUGACAUACCGAAAAGUUUGGUUUUCUUAACUACUCCUCGUAUGUGCUACUACCAGCACUAGUAGCAACCGGAAGCCCACAUAGAUAUAUUUGUUUCGUUUUGCUUUUGCUCUUUAGUCCUAACUUUAAUAUACUACUGUCCUGUUCUUUGUGCUGUAACACCUCAAUAUCCUGUCUGGGAUUAAAGAAAGAGCCAUCUCAUUUUAAACGAAUAUUGGAUUUCGUGUUCUGUGGAAAAAAAUUAAAAAAUGUUUUUAUGCAGUUCAACGCUAAACUUGGGUUUCAGAGCGUGGGAUGUGUGUGGUUUAUGUAACCCCCUCCUAUUAUCGCCGAGCCCUCUGAGAGCCAUCUAUUAAGCAGUUGAGACACGGAGUCUCAGAUCACCAGAGGAGAUGACGUGGAUGCUUCACUUAGUGCCGAGCACAGAGUUUUAAACAGGAUGAAAGAAGACGAUUAGCCAGAGGAGGUCAGAGGCGGAGCAAUAAAUAUAGAUAAAAGAAAUAAGGAGCGUGGACACACACAAACACACACUAGAUACAUGGAGCACACACACUUCCGCUAUUAAAGAUUGAUGGAGUGCACACACGCACCUUGGAUUUAUGAAGCGCAUGCACACUUCUACUUUAAAGACCAUGUACCACACACACACACACACACACACACACACACACACACACACACACACACACACACACACACACACACACACACACACACACACACACACACACACACACACACACAGUAAACUGCGUGCAUGGAGGAUGUGUUCUGGCUCCUACAUACCUGUCCCGUCUCGGUGACAGCCAGACAGUGCAGCGCCCCAACCGCCACGUGCACAAUCUUCUUCCCCCUCAGGCCCUCCACCAUCUGGGGCUUGCGCACGUGCACGUCAGUCCCGUGACCCAGCCGGAAGUAGUCUCCCUUCCCCCUGGUUGGCAACACAACAGAUGACCGUGAGUAUCCCAGACACAAAGGGGUUUGGUAAAAGUAAUAAUAAUACAUUUUAUUUCAGGGCGCCUUUCAAAACUCAAGGUCUCCUUCCAGUUAAGACAAGCAAAUACAAUUUAAAAACAGGCAAAUAUAGUUAAAACAAACACAUUCAAAAUAAA